rnacentral:rRNA from 1 species
GAUUGAACGCUGGCGGCAGGCCUAACCCAUGCAAGUCGAGCGGAUGAAGGGAGCUUGCCCCUGGAUUCAGCGGCGGACGGGUGAGUAAUGCCUAGGAAUCUGCCUGGUAGUGGGGGAUAACGUCCGGAAACGGGCGCUAAUACCGCAUACGUCCUGAGGGAGAAAGUGGGGGAUCUUCGGACCUCACGCUAUCAGAUGAGCCUAGGUCGGAUUAGCUAGUUGGUGGGGUAAAGGCCUACCAAGGCGACGAUCCGUAACUGGUCUGAGAGGAUGAUCAGUCACACUGGAACUGAGACACGGUCCAGACUCCUACGGGAGGCAGCAGUGGGGAAUAUUGGACAAUGGGCGAAAGCCUGAUCCAGCCAUGCCGCGUGUGUGAAGAAGGUCUUCGGAUUGUAAAGCACUUUAAGUUGGGAGGAAGGGCAGUAAGUUAAUACCUUGCUGUUUUGACGUUACCAACAGAAUAAGCACCGGCUAACUUCGUG